ACCUGCCCUGUGCCCGGGNAUAGCCCUUGGAAACGAGGAUUAACGCCCGAUGGCGUGCAUUGACCGCAUGGGAUAUGCACUAAAUGGAAAGGCACGGGAUGGGGAUGCGUUCCAUUAGGUUGUUGGCGGGGUAACGGCCCACCAAGCCGUCGAUGGAUAGGGGUUCUGAGAGGAAGGUCCCCCACAUUGGAACUGAGACACGGUCCAAACUCCUACGGGAGGCAGCAGUGAGGAAUAUUGGUCAAUGGGCGGAAGCCUGAACCAGCCAAGUAGCGUGAGGGAUGACGGCCCUACGGGUUGUAAACCUCUUUUAUGCGGGGAUAAAGUGCGCCACGCGUGGCGUUUUGCAGGUACCGCAUGAAUAAGGACCGGCUAAUUCCGUGCCAGCAGCCGCGGUAAUACGGAAGGUCCGGGCGUUAUCCGGAUUUAUUGGGUUUAAAGGGAGCGCAGGCGGAGGGUCAAGUCAGCCGUAAAAUCGUCCUGCUCAACAGGAUCCCGCGGUUGAAACUGGUCCCCUUGGGUGCACAAGAGGCACGCGGAACUCGUGGUGUAGCGGUGAAAUGCAUAGAUAUCACGAAGAACGCCGAUUGCGAAGGCAGCGUGCUGAGGUGUAACCGACGCUCAUGCUCGAAGGCGCGGGUAUC
rnacentral:rRNA from 1 species